UGCUUGUUUUAUCUCAUCAACUCAAAGUCAUACUCAGUUUAGUAUCAUAUAUGACAAAGAAAAGCAUCUAAUCCUGAAAUUUGGGAAGCUGCUACCAGAUAAUGACUGGUAUUUUUGCUUGAAAAGUUGACACUUAAUUUAAAAUAAUUGCUGAUUAAGUGCCUGUCUAUUAAUGGAUUAGACGUUAACACUCUACAAUUUAUAGUAAAUCUUAAAAAGAAAAAUCAUGGAUGAAGCCGGCAUGGCAGCUGUAAUGGAGCACUGUCCCUUCCACUGGCUGCCCGGGGGGCUUCACCAUCACUCGACCAUUCUCCAGGGACGUCCACACCCGUGGGCACAGCAGCACUGGGAACCACAAGGACCACAAAAGAGAAGGAGAAUUUAGAAAAGGCCUCUGUAGCGGAUCCCCCCAUCCCUUGGAGGCCGGAUUAUGGCACAGCCUGAAAACAAGAGAAGAGGAAGAAGUAUGAAAAAAGGAGGAUGACAAGAGCAGAGAGGGAAAGCUCUGUCUCCAGAUAAUGUAGAUAUAUAACAACAACAUGCUAUAUUGUCAAUUAAUUGACACCUUCCUUGCUGCACAAAUUACAGUGCUUCAUUCAGGUCACUUAGCAAUUUCUGCAGCGUUACAUCUGUCCAUUAAUGCACAUUAUAAACACACACAGACAGCAUACACACAGACAGAUAUCCCACACGGAUUCAGUCACAAAUACACACAAAAUUACCUCCAGUUGAUGAAUUAUGUAUGGGCACAACAAGAGAUGGAAGAGCAUAGAGAAUAAUCAGAAGCAAUAGGCGUGCCAUCUCUGGAUCUAAAAGAGAAGGGUGAGAGAGGGAGAGAAGGUUUUAAAAAGAAAGUGGGAAUGUGUGACAGGGAGUUUGGGGGUUUGGGAGAAAGACAGAAGAGGAAACAAGAGACAAAAAGAAAAAGGUUACUGAGAAAAUAUUCUUACAGUAUUAAUGCUACACUCUCAGUCCUCAGAUACAGUCACUUUCGGUCCACUGCUGUCUGUCCUUCUAAAAGAGAUGCAUCAACUUUUUGGCAAAAUAGCUCCCUUUUCAGCAUGCCUGACUGUGCAUAGAGAGGAUGAGAAUCAAGAUGAGUCCACUUUUCUCUCUCUGCUUCUAUUUGUAUUUACAGUGCAGACAGCCCGGGCUCCAUUGAUUGCCAGCUUGGCUUAAUUUCAAAGGCCAUGUAUACAAGGUUUCAGCCGAGUUUUUGAUGGUUUUUAUUAUUUUAAGUAGCUGCCCAUGGAAACAUUUCACACCAGGGCAGACUUAGCUUAGAAUAGUUUUCUUUAUGCCAUGUUAGAAAAGUAUUUGGAACAGCUUAUAAACUAUGGUUACAAAAAAAUGUGUUUUUAGGUAUCUUCAUAGUUUUUUCAGGCAAUGACCUACUCCACCUAAUCGGACGCAAGAAAACUCUUGAGACUUUCUCUGAAAGUGUACUCCACCAAUUUAGCAUUGCACUCCUAAACCCUUGUCAGACUCAUGGUGUAAAGUGUCAUAUAUUUUAUAAAUCAAAAUCCAUGCAGCUGAACCAGAUACAUCAUCUUUUUAAUUCCAAGCAUUUGUCUUCAUUAUCAAAACAUGGUGCCUACAUUACCCACAAUGCAACUCAGCCACCGACAGUUUGUCUGGAGA